GCGUUUCCCGAGGUUCGCCGACAAGAAUCCACCCAGCAAUUAUCUCCCUUCUCGCGCGCAUGGGGGGACAUUAACCACGAACGCGCUGGAGAAGAAAGGUCUGGAAACCUGGAGGGAUGGGUGCGGCAGGAGAUGGGGAACUCCCGCCAAGGAACUCCGUGAGAGCUCAGAGCCCAACCACCUGCUUCUCGCCCGUGGGAGGGGACACACACCCCCUCUUCUGAGAGCAGACAGGAGGCUGCGACCAUCUCGUCCAGCUUUAUGCUUGGAGCAAAGCUUGAAAAAGCCUCGGCUGCCGCCCGGAUGGCUGAUGGUGGUGGCGGUGAGGGGGUCUCUUUCCUCUCUAGUUCUUGCUCCCCCACCCCCUCCCCCGGCUGCUGACGGGCAACAGAAAGUGAGGAAGUUUGCAAAUAAGGGGAGUUGUCCUAACAUAGCCAUCACACUCACGCGUCCAUACCUUGAGGGCUCGGCCGUGGUCCUCGGGAGGCUUCCAAAAAAGCUGCUUCCCAACAAACCUCUCCCAGCCAAGCCCUAACUGUGGAACCCACGGCUUAGGAGGAGGACACGGCGAAGAGGGAAGGAUUAGCAAACGCGACAGAGUCUUCCCAGGAAAUCCAAGUUCUAUCAGUCCCUUUGGACCUUUCCACGGGCUGUUUCUUUGAAAAUACAUCAACAAAUAAACACCGUCCACAGAGAGAUCCCAACAGCCGUGGGGAGAACUGAGGCAGGGUAGGAAGUGGAGAGCACGCAGGAGGCCAAGAAGGCGAGGGGCAAGUUCUAGGCAAGCGGAUUAUGUUACACUUCCUCCUAUUACCAGACUUCCAGGAGGAGACACCUCGAUUUGUGCAUAAAAUGCAUACCCUGAAGUGGAUAAGACUCUGAAAGCAGCGUUUGAGGAGGUUAACCUUGACUGGUUGGAGUUAAGGGGGGGUGGGGGGAAGCAAAUAUUUCUGUUUGUGCCCUCCGGCUCUUCCCAGCACCGGCUGUCAAUCCCGACGCUUGUUAUCCUCACAAGGCUUCAGUUUGUUUGCCUGAUCUCAGCAAGGUUUUCUUCCACAAGUAGAACUAUAAUUGCUAUAAUUCUACUGUAUCAUUUGGAUCAUUGCAGUAUUGUUGUUUUCUCUCUCUCUUUCUCUCCUCCUAACACUGCAAUAACGCGCUCCAGUGUUAAAUUAGCAGGUUGCGGAAGACCAUAAAUGAAUGAAAGUUUGUUUAAAAAAAAAAAAGAAAUUAAAUAAAUAAAACAGCAAAAUGACUUGGCAAAAGGGAUAUCACAUCACAGAGAAUCCUUGCGUGUAAUCAGGUCUUAUUGUCUUCUCUUCCAGUGGCUUCCAAAUUGGUCGCUAGAUUCCAAUGAAGUUUAUUUCUAUUGUUUAAAUAUAUGUUUUGAAGAGGCUGAUCGUAAUUUAAGGGGACCUGAGCCGUCCGGUGCAACUGGAAGCCCAUCACAGCUUGAUUUAUCUAUGUGUAUAUUGCACAAUAAAUUAAAACAUCUCAAAUGAAAAGUAUGUGAGGUUAACUCUCUUCCAAACAUUUUUUUUUUCUGGAUAAUGACAUCUAACUGCCACCCCCCCUUAUUCCACAUUUCUUGCAAAUGUAAUUUUAAAACUAUAAUGUAGAAUUAGCUCUCAGAAAAGAAAGGGGUUUCUCCUUCCACUCUCCUCUUCUAGGUAAAUUAUUAUUUCCAGUUCUAGGAACAAGCCCCAUUUUUCACCAUAAACAACAGUUCUAAACACAUGUGACCUUCACUUCCAGCCAUUAUUGUCAUUUUUAUUUAGUGAUUGAUUUUAAAAGCAGAUAAACUGCAAACCAUUGUUUUCCAAGCAGACCAGGAAAAGCAAACCAACAGCUACAGACCCCAAAGAUUAGAGGAGCCAGGACUUGUGAAUAACAAAGUACAAACAAGAAUGAUAUUAUCACUAAAAUGCAAUUACUUUUGAUUAGUGAGUAAAAGUGAGGCAAAAAGAAAGUGAAGUGUCGUUUUCCUGGCAAAGUAAAAUUAAAUUGGGCUAAACUGUAAGUUCUUUCAUACGUAAUCCUAUAGCCCAAUUCUUAAAAGUCUGCCCACUCAACACAUCAG
rnacentral:lncRNA from 1 species